UACGUAGGGACCAAGCGUUGUUCGGAUUUACUGGGCGUAAAGAGCUCGUAGGCGGCUUGUCACGUCGAUUGUGAAAGCCCGAGGCUUAACCUCGGGUCUGCAGUCGAUACGGGCUAGCUAGAGUGUGGUAGGGGAGAUCGGAAUUCCUGGUGUAGCGGUGAAAUGCGCAGAUAUCAGGAGGAACACCGGUGGCGAAGGCGGAUCUCUGGGCCAUUACUGACGCUGAGGAGCGAAAGCGUGGGGAGCGAACAGG
rnacentral:rRNA from 1 species